GUUUCCGGCCCGGGGCCCGACUGCGGGUGGCAUUUCUGGCUAAGCCGUUAGGCGCGAAUUGUAUGUCUGGUUUAUUCGUAGUGGCCAGCAGGGGAGGGAGGGAGGAUGCUUGGGGUUUCUGGCUUCCAGGGUGGGUGGGGACGAGGUGGUGGAGUCCAGCUCAGGUCCGGGCUCCUGAUAAGGGCAGAAGCGGGUUCUGCGCUGCCCCCAACCCUGUAACCGCCAGGAAAGCGCUUGGUGAGCGUCGGGACUGCGCAGGUUCCUCGGGAGGUGGCUAAACUGGCCACCGCCUCUGGGGCCGCCUAAAGCAAGUCCGUUAACCACUAGUCAGGGAGGAAUACUGUGUUUGAGUAAAUAUAUGUAGAGUUGGGUUAGAAUCAUUGAUUGGGUCUUUUUGAAAUCUUACAGUUCUGUGUCCAGAAAACACAGGGCACGUUACCCGGUAUCGUGGUCUACACCUCGCCCACAAAUCCAUCCCAGGCUGUAUCCUCAUGGAAGCUUUUUCCAGAUGUGCUUGAGGGUUAAGAUCGCAAUGUGCAAGAAGAAAAAGUGCACAUUGGAAAACCUUCUCUUCGGAGAUAUCUAUAUCUAUAUUUAUAUAUAUUUACAGAUAUGGAGAUAUAUACACACACGUAUCUGAAAACAUUCUGACGUUUUAAAAACGGAGCACCAGAGGAGGGGGACUUCAUCUGACUUGUUCAGCACUGUCUCCCAGGCCCUGGCACAGAGGGAGCACUCGAUACACACCGAUGGGCUGAAGGUGUGAAUGGAUCUGGGGACUAGAGUGAUGGUUAUUUGGCAGACAGCAUGCCCCGCCUGGGCAGUAGCCGUGAAGACUCUUCUUUUCCUCUCCUCGCCUGCACUCUUUAGGAUUGAACAGCAUUGGUUCAAUGCAUAUUCUGGGAGCACAGAGAAAAAAGGGAUCAAGUUCCACCAUUAUGCAAAAGGGACUCCUGUAAGCCAGGUGAAGAAGGGGCAAGGCCCUUCUUGGUCAGCAGGGAUAAGGCAGUUGUGUAUGGGAGAGCAUGCGAGGAGGGCGAGGGCUGGGGGAGAUGGAGCAGGAACAUUUGGUUGGGGCUCUGAGGCACUCUUCUGCUUGGGGAGUGUGUGGGCAAAGGCAGGGGCUGUGCAGGAAGGAUUUAGCUAAAGCCAUAAAGCUGGAAGAGGGUUUGGGGAACGGCUUUGAAGUUACAUUUGUUUUGCAAGUUCUUUGUUUUUAUUAAUGUUUGCAUGUUAUUUGGGUAGCUGUAGGGAGUAGGUUUUCGGGGAGUUAAAGUGCACUCUCUCACCCCUCCUUCAGUCCUACUACUGCCCCUAGAUACACAAUCACCUCAAGUGACUUUCACGUCACCAGGAAUGGGCAAAGUCUAGAUUUUGGAACAGAAAAUAUUUUAGGUCCCCGUCCCUCUCUGUAACCAAUAACCAAUGCCAUAUAAAUGGAAAAGUAUAAAGAAGUCCAGAAAUUCUUAUUUUCCCCUCAACGACUAGUCAUGCAUGACAUUUUAAAACUAAUACUUCACUGGCAUCAGAGCUCCUGGGCUGUGCUUGAUCAAACAAUUGGGAUCUGGCUCUGAAGCACAUCCUUGAUCCGUACGGAUUUUUGUCAGAGAAUCUUCCGCUUGAAAGGCAGUGUUCGGGGUCUUCCAAGGCACACUGAACUACGUUAAGCCCCUCAUACACACCCAAAGUACGUAAGGCAGAAGGAACCUGGAUACCCUUUGUGGUUGAUGGUGAGGCGGGCCACCACUGUGGCCCUGAAUCCCCCACUGAAUCACACCCUUUGUGAUCUGACUCUGCAGCUCUUUCCAUCUGCAGUGGUGUCUGUUUCCCCAGCUCAGGAAUCUAGUUGGCUUUUUGACUUGUUUUGACCAAUAACAGCAGCAGAAGGGGCCAGUUAUGAAGCUAGGCCUCAGGACACCUUGCGCGUGGCUCUACAAUUCACAUUGCCUUGGCGGCAGCCAGCCUCCAGUGGACCUGGAAGCUAACUGCAGAUGCAGGGGUAAGCCCGGUGGGAAGGGCUGAGUUGUGUGCACCCGAAUUCCUAUGUGGAAGUCCUAACUCCCAGGGCCUCAGAAUGUAACCGUAUUUGGAAAUAGGGUCUGUGCAUAGCUUAUUAAGUUAAAAUGAGGCCUUUAAGGUGGCCCCGAUUCAGUAGGACUGCUGUCCUUAUAAGAAAAGGAAAUUUGGAUACUGACACACACAUGCACCAAGGGACGAACACACAAAGAUACAGGAAGAAGGCGGCCAUCUAGGAACCAAAUCAACCCUGCGGAUAACCGGAUGUCAGACUUCCAGCCUCUGGGACUGAGAGAAGUAACCUGAGGUUACUCUUCACGCACACACAGUAUUCCUUCCUUCUCUGCGUCUAGAUACAUGUCUCUCCCAAAUAAGCAUCGUAAUCGCCAUUCCUAAAUCCAGCACCUGGUCAUUUAUUUAUUUUCAAGAGGUAAUACGGUAGAAUCUUUAGAGCUAAAGUGAGCGUUCUAUUUCGCUCUCCAGGUUUCCUGUGCUCAGGUGAUCUUCAGCCCGUCACAGGCCCUGGCUGCAUUUCUUUCUUCCACUGUAGGAGGAACCAACGGGGAUCUGCUGUAUUGUGCAAGAAAAUAUACAUUGGCCGCCAUUCUGGAAGCACUCAGGGGUUUUCGAAGGCAUUGGCCAUGGCCUGUGGGGAGGGAAGUAUAUUUCAGCUCCUCAGCUGACAAUGGUAUUCCCUAUGAAGCCCGCACUGCGGUCUGUGUCAAUCUGUGCCACGCUGUCGGUGGUUCUUGGCUUGCAGGACAGCCUCAACUCUAAAAAUGCCAGAUUCCAUAGUAUCUGCCCCAAAUGCUGACUCUUAGCUCCCUCUUGCACCCCAGCUUCCAGUCCCUGCUAAAGAGAUAGAAUGGGGUGGAGAUUCCGUAACAGGAAUCUCUGCAACCUUCUAUGAGUGUGAAGACAAGCCAGAGCACAGCCCCUACUUGCCCUGCGCAUAGAAGGGCAGGAGGCACUGGGCAGAAAGAGUGGACAGGACUCCUCGGGGGACUGGGACCCCAUAGGCCACUGAGAUACAUCCACGGCCUCAGGAGGCCGGCAUGGUGGGCCGGCUUGGCGGGAGAGGAGGCAGAGAAUACAGAAAACAGAAGCCGGAAAGCAACAGCAACAGAAACACCGCCACUACCUCCAAUGUCUGUGAUGCUUUAAGAGGCUCUUCCUGAACCUAGCCUCAGGUGUCAUCAAUGAAACCCUCUGUGCCACGUGGGGUUUUUAUUCCUGUUUUACAGAGACAGGGUUGAAUUUGAGGACAACUCAGUUACUCGCAGGAAGGCCCACUGCGAGUGAGUGUCAGAGCUGGGAACCACACACUGUACUUUGGCUCCCAGGCCGAGCCCUCUUCUGUAUCCUGCACUUUCUCGCAGGCUGAGCCCUCUUCUGUAUCCUGCACUUUCUCGCAGGCUGAGCCCUCUUCUGUAUACUGCACUUUCUUCCAGGCCGAGAAAUGAAUCAGGUGGGAAAUGAGCCCUGGGGACAGGUGCCUCCUAUGAGGCAGUUAUCUGCAAGGCCUAUUUCUAGCGCUAACCAUAUCUGCUGUCCUAAAAGCCUGGCUCAUUCCUUUCACUGUCUCCCUGGUAAGUCGGUUCUUGUUCCAGGGAAGCAACCCUCAGUCUAAAGAGAUCCUGGAGGAUGUCUCAACCCUGAGCCGUUGUCAAAACACAGCUUAAUCCCCAUUCCCUGGGCCCGAGACCCUGCAGCCCCCACGCUGCCCGGCUUCCGGUCUUACCUGGGGCAACCUGACCAACAAGAACGCGGAAGGCCAGGAGCCAAAAACAGAGACUCCUGAUGGGUAACAGAAGGAAAAGACUUGGAGGCUGCCAUUUCUCCAAGUAGUCCUGGAGAUUCUCAAAUGCUAAAGUUAACCAACACAGUGCCCUAAGACCAGAAAGGAGAAAAAAUGGAAGUUCUGGGUCCUGCCAAAGGACUAUUUCACUGAGCAGACUGCUGAGACCUCUGAAUUAUGUGGACACUUGAGAAUCAGUCAUGUGUUGGGGCCGGCGUCGUGGCUCAUGCCUGUAAUCCCAGCACUUUGGCAUUUUGGGAGGCCAAGGCGGGUGGAUCACCUGUGGUCAGGAGUUCGAGACCAGCCUGGUCAACAUGGUGAAACCCUGUCUUUACUAAAAACAAAAACAAACCCCAAAAAUUAGCCAGGUAUGGUGGCCGGCACCUGUAAUCCGAGCUAGUCGGGAGGCUGAGGCAGGAGAACUGCUUGGGCUUGGGAGGCAGAGGUUGCAGUGAGCCGAGAUUGUGCCACUGCACUUCAGCCUGGGCGACAAGAGUGAAACACCAGCUCAAAAAAAAAAAAAAAAAAAAAAAACCAAAAAAAAAAAAACCAAAAUCAGUCACCUGUUGGUUUGUGGAUCAAACAAAGUGGAGGUGACAUCACUGAAGCCUAGGACAUCACUCCCCUUUUCCAGGCAGGCUUUGUGGUUCGACCUGUCUCACGUUCCAACCCAUGCACCCUAACCCCCUACUUCUUUACCUCUUCCAAUUGAGACACAAGAUUCAUUUUGGCCCAAAGGAGGUAUACUUCAAAAGCAAUUUUCCUUUAUUAAAAGAAUGCUUAUAA
rnacentral:lncRNA from 1 species